rnacentral:rRNA from 1 species
AACCUCCGCAAUGUGAGAAAUCGCGACGGGGGGAUCCCAAGUGCCAUUCUUAACGGGAUGGCUUUUCAUUAGUGUAAAGAGCUUUUGGAAUAAGAGCUGGGCAAGACCGGUGCCAGCCGCCGCGGUAACACCGGCAGCUCUAGUGGUAACAAUUUUUAUUGGGCCUAAAGCGUCCGUAGCCGGUUUAAUAAGUCUCUGGUGAAAUCCUGCAGCUUAACUGUGGGAAUUGCUGGAGAUACUAUUAGACUUGAGACCGGGAGAGGUUAGAGGUACUCCCAGGGUAGAGGUGAAAUUCUGUAAUCCUGGGAGGACCGCCUGUUGCGAAGGCGUCUAACUGGAACGGUUCUGACGGUGAGGGACGAAAGUUAGGGGCGCGAAACCGGAUUAGAUACCCGGGUAGUCCUAACUGUAAACGAUGCGGACUUGGUGUUGGGGUGGCUUUGAGCUGCUUCAGUGCCGAAGGGAAGCUGUUAAGUCCGCCGCCUGGGAAGUACGGUCGCAAGACUGAAACUUAAAGGAAUU